rnacentral:rRNA from 1 species
UACGAAGGGUGCAAGCGUUAAUCGGAAUUACUGGGCGUAAAGGGUGCGUAGGCGGUUGUUUAAGUCUGUCGUGAAAUCCCCGGGCUCAACCUGGGAAUGGCGAUGGAUACUGGACAGCUAGAGUGUGUCAGAGGAUGGUGGAAUUCCCGGUGUAGCGGUGAAAUGCGUAGAGAUCGGGAGGAACAUCAGUGGCGAAGGCGGCCAUCUGGGGACAACACUGACGCUGAAGCACGAAAGCGUGGGGAGCAACAGG